rnacentral:rRNA from 1 species
UACGUAGGGUGCAAGCGUUUAAUCGGAAUUACUGGGCGUAAAGCGUGCGCAGGCGGUUAUGUAAGACAGAUGUGAAAUGCCCGGGCUUAACCUGGGAACUGCAUUUGUGACUGCAUGGCUAGAGUUUGGCAGAGGGGGGGUAGAAUUCCACGUGUAGCAGUGAAAUGCGUAGAUAUGUGGAGGAACACCGAUGGCGAAGGCAGCCCCCUGGGUCAAGACUGACGCUCAUGCACGAAAGCGUGGGGAGCAAACAGG